GUGAAUCAUCGAAUCUUUGAACGCACCUUGCGCUCCUUGGUAUUCCGAGGAGCAUGCCUGUUUGAGUGUCAUGAAACUCUCAACCUCCAACUUUCUUAAUCGUCGGUUGGCGGCUUGGACGUGAGCGCCUGCCGGUCUUUGUUGAUCGGCUCGCUUGAAAUGAAUUAGCAGAUCCUUUUUGUAAUCGGUUCGACUCGACGUGAUAAGUAUUUCGCCGAGGACAUCUUAACGGAUGGCCGAGAUAAGAAACAGUGUUUAGAUCCGCUUCUAAUCGUUCGACGACGAGACUCCCCCCGGGGG
rnacentral:misc_RNA from 1 species